UACAGAGGUGGCAAGCGUUGUUCGGAAUUACUGGGCGUAAAGGGCGCGUAGGCGGUCUUGUAAGUCUUGUGUGAAAUCCCUCGGCUUAACUGAGGAACUGCACGGGAUACUGCGAGACUUGAGAUCGGGGAGAGGGAAGCGGAAUUCCGGGUGUAGCGGUGAAAUGACGUAGAUAUCCGGAGGAACACCGGUGGCGAAGGCGGCUUCCUGGGACCGACACUGACGCUGGAGGCGACGAAAGCUAGGGGAGCAAACGGG
rnacentral:rRNA from 1 species